GAUGAAGAACGUAGCGAAAUGCGAUAAGUAAUGUGAAUUGCAGAAUUCAGUGAAUCAUCGAAUCUUUGAACGCACAUUGCGCCCCCUGGUAUUCCGGGGGGCAUGCCUGUUCGAGCGUCAUUUCACCACUCAAGCCUCGCUUGGUAUUGAGCAACGCGGUCCGCCGCGUGCCUCAAAUCGUCCGGCUGGGUCUUCUGUCCCCUAAGCGUUGUGGAAACUAUUCGCUAAAGGGUGUUCGGGAGGCUACGCCGUAAAACAACCCCAUUUCUAAGGUUGACCUCGGAUCAGGUAGGGAUACCCGCUGAACUUAAGCAUAUCAAUAAGCGGAGGA
rnacentral:misc_RNA from 1 species